AGCUGUGCUGGGACGAGUUGGUACUCGACCAGCAAGCUGUUCACGAACUCGUGAACGGGGAACCGCAGGCCGGCCCAGAGGGUCUCGCGGUGAACCGCGAUCCGACCUGGGGGCGGCCGCGUCACCCUACCUUCCGGCCCAGCAGUUUCGAGGCGAAACCCGGGCUGGAAGAAAAAUCGGGAGCGGAUUAAUUCCAACUCCUCCCCCGACAGACUUGACCCAACCUCCUCAGAACCGAGACCCAUUUUUACAGAAGAGCGAAAUGAGAUUGAAAAUGGAGGAUGAAAACUGGGGAAGGAAAAGGAAGAGGAACCCUAGCAGUUGCAGGGUAGGGACCUACUGGACAUCGCCGGAAAUCGCUCCGGGCACCGACGGCAGGAGUUGGACAGGGAAUAGAGCAAGAAGGAGGAUAGCAAAAAUAAGAAGCAGCCAAAUAAAACCUUUAGGGCAAACUCGAGGGGUUUAUAUAGGCCCCCCUGACCGCCCAGAUCGGCAGGGUCGGUUUCC
rnacentral:lncRNA from 1 species